AACGAACGCUGGCGGCGUGCCUAAUACAUGCAAGUAGAACAGUUGCGAACGGGUGAGUAACGCGUAGGUAACUGCCUCAUAGCGGGGGAUAACUAUUGGAAACGAUAGCUAAUACCGCAUACUGUGAGAGGGACCUGCGUUUUAUUGGGUAGUUGGUGAGGUAAAGGCUCAACAAGGCGAAGAUACAUAGCCGACCUGAGAGGGGGAUCAGCCAACAUGGGACUUAGACACGGCCCAGACUCCUACGGGAGGCAGCAGUAGGGAAUCUUCGGAAAUGGACGGAAGUCUUACCGAGCAACGCCGCGUGAGUGAAGAAGGUUUUCGGAUCGUAAAGCCAUGUUGUUAGAGAAGCGGUACCUAACCAGAAAGGGACGGCUAACUACGUGCCAGCAGCCGCGGUAAUUC
rnacentral:rRNA from 1 species